UACGUAGGGUGCAGGCGUUAAUCGGAAUUACUGGGCGUAAAGCGUGCGCAGGCGGUCUUUUAAGUCAGAUGUGAAAUCCCCGGGCUUAACCUGGGAACUGCGUUUGAAACUGGAAGGCUUGAGUGUGGCAGAGGGGGGUGGAAUUCCACGUGUAGCAGUGAAAUGCGUAGAGAUGAUGGAGGAACACCGAUGGCGAAGGCAGCCCCCUGGGCUAACACUGACGCUCAUGCACGAAAGCGUGGGGAGCAAACAGG
rnacentral:rRNA from 1 species